UGCAGUCGAACGGCAGCAUGAUCUAGCUUGCUAGAUUGAUGGCGAGUGGCGAACGGGUGAGUAAUACAUCGGAACGUGCCCUGUAGUGGGGGAUAACUAGUCGAAAGAUUAGCUAAUACCGCAUACGACCUGAGGGUGAAAGUGGGGGACCGCAAGGCCUCAUGCUAUAGGAGCGGCCGAUGUCUGAUUAGCUAGUUGGUGGGGUAAAGGCCCACCAAGGCGACGAUCAGUAGCUGGUCUGAGAGGACGAUCAGCCACACUGGGACUGAGACACGGCCCAGACUCCUACGGGAGGCAGCAGUGGGGAAUUUUGGACAAUGGGCGAAAGCCUGAUCCAGCAAUGCCGCGUGUGUGAAGAAGGCCUUCGGGUUGUAAAGCACUUUUGUCCGGAAAGAAAUGGCUCUGGUUAAUACCUGGGGUCGAUGACGGUACCGGAAGAAUAAGGACCGGCUAACUACGUGCCAGCAGCCGCGGUAAUACGUAGGGUCCAAGCGUUAAUCGGAAUUACUGGGCGUAAAGCGUGCGCAGGCGGUUGUGCAAGACCGAUGUGAAAUCCCCGAGCUUAACUUGGGAAUUGCAUUGGUGACUGCACGGCUAGAGUGUGUCAGAGGGGGGUAGAAUUCCACGUGUAGCAGUGAAAUGCGUAGAGAUGUGGAGGA
rnacentral:rRNA from 1 species